CCUUUUAUAACUUAAAUGGGAUAUUAUAGUUGUAAACUGCCCUAGAGCUCCCUCUAGUGGCUGCUUUGUGAUAUGGGUUCGGUUACUUUGGGAAGGAAAAAAAUGAGAACGUGAAGAAGAAAUAAAAGAUGGCGGAAAGUGAUACCGUAAUGUUAUUGUUCUAAGCUAAUACGGACCUUAAAAUGUUGUUGCCUUGGACAAGAUAUGUCUUUUUACGAUGGUCAAAGAGAAGGCAAUGGUCAGAGGCCAUUCUUCAAUAAAUCAGCGCAAAAAGGAAAA